UGGUUGGGGCAGAAACGCUUUUAGUGGCAUAGUGUUUCCCAAAUGCAGAGGGCUGCAUGGGGCAGGAGGUGGUGGAGACCAAUGGUCCCUUGUGGAGUUGCUUUGGAGCUCAUAAAGCAGGACAACUGAAGCCUGAACCUCAGUGACAAGCUUGACUUUGCCUGAUGCACCUCAAGAGCAAGACCUUGAUACUUUCUUAAAAGAAGCGCAUGGCCCAGUGAUCUUGAAGCUCUUGGUGAAAAGAAAUCAAGGGGAAUGCUUCUCAUGUUCAGCUCAGAGGCUAGCAUGUAUAUUCUUGACAAGGGAUGAUAAAUUAGGCAUGCAACCCUUCUGUAAGCCCUGCUAAGCUCUCUCCCUUCCUCUGUCUGGUGACGAGAGCUCCACAUUGUUUGGAAACACUUUCCAGCACAGAAGCUGCACAGAAGCAAAGUGAAGUCCUGAUCCCUUACUGCGGGAGCUGGAGAGAGCUCCACGCACCAGCCUGUAGCUGUAUGUAAUCAUAAAACAGCGUGUAAUGCAACAGGUCUUGGUACAAGUCGCAUGGGGAAGCAGUGGUAAAAGGCAAAGACAGCCCAGCCUACUGGGGGGGCACUCUGGUGGCCGAGGGAGCUGCAGAGACAGGGUCCGAGCUGCAGAAGUGGCCCCCUGAGGGCCACAGAAAGGGACCGUGUCUGCCCACGGGAGGGCAAGCUGCCACCUUCUGUCACAACCAAGGACUACCCUGAUGGCUGUGUGGGGUGGCCAGGUCCCCCUCUUGCUCUUUCUCCCACCCACCUGCACUCUCUCCCUCUUCCCUUCCUUAGUCUGAAUAAUUAUAGUCUGCCACACGAAGCAAUUACAGUUAGCCAGCUCCAUCAAGAGUUGUGUUUUUUUUUUUUUUCUCCUCUUCAUUCAACAUCCCUGAGUGCCUCAAAGGAGUUUAAUAACCCAUAAUGACACCCUAGACCUCCACGUCAUUGCAGCCUCCCUAGGACUGGGGCAGCAGCAGGAAAAAAUAAAAUAAAGUAAAAUAAAAGUAAUUAAAAUCCACAUCUCUCUUUUAA